rnacentral:rRNA from 1 species
GACAGAGGGGGCUAGCGUUGCUCGGAAUCACUGGGCGUAAAGGGUGCGUAGGCGGGUCUUUAAGUCAGGGGUGAAAUCCUGGAGCUCAACUCCAGAACUGCCUUUGAUACUGAGGAUCUUCAGUUCGGGAGAGGUGAGUGGAACUGCGAGUGUAGAGGUGAAAUUCGUAGAUAUUCGCAAGAACACCAGUGGCGAAGGCGGCUCACUGGCCCGAUACUGACGCUGAGGCACGAAAGCGUGGGGAGCAAACAGG